AACGAACGCUGGCGGCAUGCCUAACACAUGCAAGUCGAACGAGACCUUCGUGUCUAGUGGCGCACGGGUGCGUAACGCGUGGGAACCUGCCCUUAGGUUCGGAAUAACUCCCCGAAAGGGGUGCUAAUACCGGAUAAUGUCUUCGGACCAAAGAUUUAUCGCCUUUGGAUGGGCCCGCGUUGGAUUAGCUAGUUGGUAGGGUAAAAGCCUACCAAGGCGACGAUCCAUAGCUGGUCUGAGAGGAUGAUCAGCCACACUGGGACUGAGACACGGCCCAGACUCCUACGGGAGGCAGCAGUGGGGAAUAUUGGACAAUGGGCGAAAGCCUGAUCCAGCAAUGCCGCGUGAGUGAUGAAGGCCUUAGGGUUGUAAAGCUCUUUUACCCGGGAUGAUAAGGACAGGACCGGGAGAAUAAGCUCCGGCUAACUCCGG
rnacentral:rRNA from 1 species